GCUUCCAAGCUGUGCUUGCCCAUGAGCAAGGUGAAGAAACCACCGUGAACACCUGGGCAUGCACCCAUGGAGGAGCACAGGGCGGCACGUAUGAUAAUGAGCUCCGUGGAAAUGGGUGGACUCUUUGGAGAAAUCGUGGGGACCGGGACAAUAAAAGAACUGCGUACUCCUCUCACAAAAGGGGACUGAAAAGGAAUGAAAAGGGAACUGAAAGGACUGAAAAGGGACUGCAGUGUUUGGAACUGGGACUUUGGCAUCACCUGUCUGCUGGAACCUGGAACUUGGACCCCCAUCACCUGCACCAAGACCAAGUCAACGGGACGUUGCUGGCUUCGUGGUGGUGCAGCACAUCCUGAAGGAAGCUUGCUUGGGCUCUACCAGCAGAGGCAAUGGGGUUGUGCUGUAGCUCCCUCUCUGCACCUAGUCCUUUGAGGAUCAGCCUGCAAAGAAAGGAGAAAUCACAGAGGUGUCUGAGCCGGAAUACCACCAUGUGAAGUGGGCAGCCACAGAAGAAGCCCUAAGAGGUUUAUUUCAGCCUGACAAGGUUUGAUGUCCUAACACUGCAGAAAUUUUGAAGAACUUUGAAAAAUAAUCAAGCUACAAGGUACAUGAAGCAUCACAAUAACUGACAAAAGGAAAGAAGGUGCUGCAAAUUUAAAAUACUGAAGUGCAUGAGAUGACCUAAAUAUGCCAGCAAAGUCUUCCAUGACAGUUUUUCAAGAAGUGAUAAUUUUAUACACAAUCCGCAUUCUACAAAUAUUCACAAAGUACUGAGAAGUAGUGCAGCCAGCAUUACAUUGCCAACAACCUUCUUCAGAAAGCAAGCCAUGGCAAUUGGGAUCCAUAUUUAGCUUUACUGAACUUGCUUUUAUCACAAGAAUAGACUCGUCAGCUCAUUUGGAAGAAGAGCUAGAAAUCUUUCUCAAAAAAUACUUAUUACUGCUACAAUCUCUGAUCACUGAUUAUAAAGCAUAAACACUAAUCUCUUGCUAUGGCAUUGAACAUGGAUUGGCCAGCUGUUUGAGCAGUUAAUUUUUACAGCUUCUGUUGGCUUGAAGGAAAAUCUCUAAAGAGGUGGAGAACUGACAUGUGCUCACAAAAAUACAUAUAACUUUUACACGAUUCAAAAAGUUGCACAAGAUUUUAAAACCAAAUGUUUCUAGAGCAUAGGAAGGUAAUGCUCAUAGACAGAAGUCUGCUUAGGGCACAGCAUUCAGCAGUUCACUGAGAAAAGACAGAGACUGAUAUUGCUGUUUUGCUGUUUGUCUGACUGCUAAUAUAUUGCAACUAUUCAACAAGAUGAUUGCCAUGUGCAGGUUCUCCCUUUUUUCGACAGCUGGAAGUGUUACUGCUCUGUAGAUUACAUAGUCACUAAUGAAAAAUGGAAAAAAACCCUUGCAGAUAAAAAAGAACUUAUCCUUAAGCAUUUUAUCUGAGAAGUUACCACCAGACCAGCAGGAGGCUUGAAUAUGUUCUGCCAAAUCUGGAGCUGCUUAAACUCCGUGACUAUGUUUCUCCAAUUAGUGGUAGGGAA